rnacentral:rRNA from 1 species
AUGGCUGGGCUGCAAAGGAUCAAUGACGCUCUGACUCUAGACUCCCUUCUGAACCUCUGGACAGCCCUACAGCAGGUCGUUCUCACUGAUCGGGAGGACGAAAUCUCUUGGAUUCACUCCUCCAAUGGAAGAUACAGCGCCAAAUCCGCUUACAACAUACAGUUCAUCACUCGAAUUGCAAUGCCGCAACUUGAACAGGUUUGGAAAAUCAAGGCUGAGCCUAAGAUCAGAUUUUUCAUUUGGACCUUGCUCCAAAACAGGUUGUGGACUGCUGAUCGCCUGGCGGCUCGAGGAUGGCCACAUAACGAUCGCUGCAGCACUUGUGAUCAGCUUCCGAAGACUGCGAGACACAUAUUGAUCGAUUGCCCUUUUACGAAGGAGAUUUGGCAAUCCUUUCACUUUUCCCACCCUGAUGUUGCUUCUGCUGCCCUUGCUGCCACUUCUAUCAAAUCCUGGUGGACGACUACAAUGAGAUGCAAGAUCUUGCAUGACAAUCUUCAUGCAUCCACCGUGGCGGCAUACAUCGCUUGGAAUCUUUGGAAUGAGAGAAACAGAAGGGUUUUCCAACAGAAGACGGCAUCCGCGCCGGGAGUACAUAUGAUGAUUAGAGAUGAGAUUGGCCUCGUUGCUGGGGCUUGGGAGUUUUAG